ACAGCGAUGUGGAGCAAAACUAUAAAAUCACCCUCAGUUCGGAUUGUAGGCUGAAACUCGCCUACAUGAAGCUGGAGUUGCUAGUAAUCGCGAAUCAGCAUGUCGCGGUGAAUACGUUCCCGGGCCUUGUACACACCGCCCGUCACACCAUGAGAGCUGGCAACACCCGAAGUCCGUAGUCUAACCGUAAGGGAGACGCGGCCGAAGGUGGGGUUAGUGAUUGGGGUGAAGUCGUAACAAGGUAGCCGUAGGAGAACCUGCGGCU
rnacentral:rRNA from 1 species